GACGAACGCUGGCGGCGUGCUUAACACGUGCAAGUCGAACGGAAAGGCCCUGCUUUUGUGGGGUGCUCGAGUGGCGAACGGGUGAGUAACACGUGAGUAACCUGCCCUUGACUUUGGGAUAACUUCAGGAAACUGGGGCUAAUACCGGAUAGGAGCUCCUGCUGCAUGGUGGGGGUUGGAAAGUUUCGGCGGUUGGGGAUGGACUCGCGGCUUAUCAGCUUGUUGGUGGGGUAGUGGCUUACCAAGGCUUUGACGGGUAGCCGGCCUGAGAGGGUGACCGGCCACAUUGGGACUGAGAUACGGCCCAGACUCCUACGGGAGGCAGAAGUGGGGAAUAUUGCACAAUGGGCGGAAGCCUGAUGCAGCAACGCCGCGUGCGGGAUGACGGCCUUCGGGUUGUAAACCGCUUUCGCCUGUGACGAAGCGUGAGUGACGGUAAUGGGUAAAGAAGCACCGGCUAACUACGUG
rnacentral:rRNA from 1 species